ensembl:lncRNA
ACAACAGCGACGUACUGUCUCACAGGUUGGGAGGCCGAGAGUCCCAGAUCACGGUGUCGGCAGGCCGUGCUCCCUCUGACGGCUCUCGAGGAGGAUCCUUCUCGGCCUCUUCGGGCUUCUGGUGUUGCCAGCAAUCCUUGGUGUCCCUGGGCAUACAGGGGGCCACUGCACUCACACAGCUGUCUGCUCCUCCUGUGUCUUCAUGUCGUCUUCCCUCUUUGCAGGGCUGCAGGCUCUGGGAGGUUAGGACGCUCGCCGAGGGUUUGAAGCCGGAUUAGGAACCCAAUCCCUCCAAUGCCUGGAAAGAAAGCCGCGCAGCCAUGAUUCAGGUAAGAGACCUUGGCUGCCCUGUUUGUUUCUCAGGCAUUGUUCUGAGAAGCAGAUCAGGCUGAGUUAGUGGGGGAAUGUGUACGUUUAAAAAAAGUAGUUGGAAGUCUGCCAGGUACACUCUGGAAAUGGAUCCAGGCUAACAGAGUUCUGGGUAGAGACACCUAGAACAAAUAAUUGCGAUUUGUUAUCAAGGCAUCAUCACUUUGUGACCAUUUUUCAUUAAGUAUGUAAUGUGUACUCGCUGUACUUUUGUUAGUGUUUUACUUAGCAAUACUUUUUAAGACAGAUGGAAUCCAGGAUAAAUUUCACCCUAGUCCCGUUCCCAAAGUGUCAGCAUUAUUGACGCCUCUCCUUUGCUGAACCGCUUAGUCAGAUCAAGGCUUAGCCGUCCCAAGGGUAAUGGGGUGAUACACCGCAGACUCCGAGGGUGAGAACAGAUAAUGCUGGUUGCCGAGACCAAGUCCAGGGAGAACUGACGUUUGAUGGCUCUGCUUUGUGGAAGGAAUUGUCCUGUGCAGAGGACCUUAGUGUUGGUCAUUGGUUAACCAGCAUGUCGUUUGUGGUAAAUUGAUGUUCAUUUGUUUUUGACUGUAUUACUGUCCUUUUCCUCCAUGUGAGUUCUUAGGGCCCAGAACAGUGCUGGGCUUGGAGCAGGUGCUCAGAAACAUGUGAGUGAAAUGAAUGAAUGAAUGAAUGGGGAUUCCAACCCAGACCUUGGUCUUCUGUGAACUUGGUGAGUGGAAAUUGGAGUCUGAUCACCCUGGUUGACCUGACUGGAUGCUGGGGCUUAGCUGUUCCGUGAGGCCCAUUCUGUUCUAGCCAGGCAACCUUGGCUUCCCCUCUGUGUUUCUCAUUAACUGUCCUCUCUGAGUCGGCCUUGGAAGCUUUUCACUCCCUUGCUUGUUCUCCCUGCAGGAGCCAAAGACACAGCCCGGAGAAUGUGAGCGGUGAAACUCCUCAGGCAGUGGUUCUCAACCUGGCAGGCGACACAUUAGAACCACCGGGGAGCUGAAAAAGUAUGCACUGGCCCCACCCCAGCCCACUGGAGGUCUAAUUGGUGAAGAGUGGGCCUGGGCAUCAGUCUUUGUUAAAAGCUUCUCGUGUGUGGCCAGAGUUGAGAACCACUGGAAUUCUCUCCUCAAAUUUCUUCAACAUCAAUCAUUUCGGGGGCUGGUUAAACACCAGCUGUUUGGCUCUCCCCUAGUUUCUGAUUCAGUGGUCUGAGGUGAGGGCUCAGAAUCUUCUUCUUCUUUUCUUUUGGUGAGGAAGAUUGGUCUUGAGCUAACGUCUGUUGCCAAUCUUGCUCUUUUUGCUUGAGGAAGAUUGUCUCUGAGCUAACAUCCGUGCCAAUCUUCCUCCAUUUUGUAUGUGGGAUGCUGCCACAGUGUGGCUUGAUGAGCAGUGUGGAGAUCCGUGCCUGGGAUCCAAACCCACAAACCCUGGGCUGCUGAAGCAGAGUGCACCAACUUAACCACCACACUGCCGGGCUGGCCCCAGAAUCUGCACUUUUAAUGUGCUCCCAGGACAUGCUGCAGGCUGUUGGUCUGGGCAACGCUUUGAGAACUGCUGCCUUCCGCGCUAGCUCAUGACUGCCCUGAUUCUCCCCAAGCCACAGGGUUUUCUGCUUUCUGCCCCCACAGUCCUGGCUCUUCCCUCUGCACUGCUCUGCUCUUGGCUGAGCUCUGGGCUACCCCUGACAGGGUGUAGAAAAAAAUUGUUUUUAUUUACUUUUUUUAAGCCCAAAAGAGAUUGGAGUGCUUCAAAAGGCAUUCCAUCUGAGAGGGAAACGACUCCCCAAAUGGGCAACUAAACACAUCGCAGUGGACACACUUGGAGGUGGUGGGGGUCAGGCUCUGGACCUGAGAGGCACGCUCGUGGGCGAGUUGUUUGCUGUCUCUAGGAAUUGGCUAGCCCUGGGGGGUCAGCAAGACCCCAGAUGUCAAAGCAGCAGUACACGGCCGCGGUUAAUGAAGACAUGGGUAACAAGCCGGUUCGCAGAGAAACGGGGAGUGGCUCUGAGCAGAGCAGACAUGGCAGCGGUGUUCCCUGCAGAUCUAUUUUCAAUCUCUCUUAAAAACACUGUCUCGUCCAUAAAAUAUGCAUUGGUGUGUAACUGCCUUUGUCCUCUAGGCUCAGCCAGUGUCUCCCACGCCAGGUUGGCGGGUGUGACCGUCAUCUUCUCUUUCCUUUCUGGAGUGUCCCUUGGUCACAGUUCCUGGACCAAGGCUAGCAGCAGCAGUGUGCAGGUGCUGGCCUCCCCCAGGCCCAGGGUGUAAACACAAUAGCUUGAGCAGUGUCGGGUGAGGUGGGGUGAUGUGGUGACCACACUGAAUGUCAUUUCCUGUGAGAGCUGGAGUGCUAGCCCAUGACAGGACAUUGAGGAACAUGGAUUCUCCCUUGUGAUUAGCUUCAGCAGAGGCCCUCAUUCCAGCUGUCAAAGUAUGCUGAGCCUGCCCGUGACUGCCUGCCCUGGGGCCGUGAGGGUUUGGAAGACGACAGCUCCAAGUCAGGGCUCUGCCUGAAGUGGGCACGGCUGUUGGAGGGCCAGCAGGAUACCGCACUGAGACAGGGUUUCCGUGAGGCUGGGUCUUACAUAACGUGACACACGGGUGAGAAGGCAGUGGGUGUAUCUGGGGCCCUGCAGGGUGACUCAAGCACCAUCAAUGCUUUCCAGAAGCAUGGGGCUCAGGCGUCAGCUGAGCAAAAUUUUCUACAUUACUAAGAGAUUACUAGAAUUAGAAGUAUUAGAAUGAGUAGAAAGCACAGAAAUGUCUCAUGAUUCAAAAAACGAACAGCCUGGAAACUGGACGAUAUUCUGGGAGCCGGGGAUAUAUUCAGGUGGGAAGUGGUGCGGGUUGGGCGUGGGUGGCCAGAAAGGCCAUUGGACCCACGACUUGUAGUCACAGAAGGCUGCAGAGGGUGGCUUAGAAGUUGUAGCUCCACACGAGCUAUGCAGACAGUCGCUGAGUUUUGUUGAAUCACUUCUUUUCUAAAUGUCAACACUGAAAACACAACCCGGUGCCUGUCACUCCGUUUUGGCAUGGGUCUGCAACUUUUAAUACACUCGGAGCUUCUUUUCAAUUUUUUCACAUUUUUUGCAGUGGCUGGGGUCUCUCUCCUUGCCUGUUGGAGCCCUGCCACGUGCCAGCUGGAAGCUGUGAUCACUGGUUAACCAGUAGCGGUGGG